CACCACAUCCCUCCAUAAGAGGCCAGGCACUGGACAGAAGGUAUAGGACCCAGUGAAGCUCUUGAGCGGGUUCCUCUAAGAUGAGGCCUUGGCAUAGAGCUGCAGGGGCAGUCGAGAGGGCAGAACUCGGGGGAAAGGGAGGUAGAUGGACACCCCCUAUAAUCUGAUGCAAACCCAGUGACCUCAGGAAUUCAGUAAACCCCCUUCCCCUGGCCCAGAGUUGCAA
rnacentral:lncRNA from 1 species